rnacentral:rRNA from 1 species
CCUACGGGAGGCAGCAGUAGGGAAUAUUGCUCAAUGGGGGAAACCCUGAAGCAGCAACGCCGCGUGGAGGAUGAAGGUUCUCGGAUUGUAAACUCCUUUUGUUAGAGAAGAUAAUGACGGUAUCUAACGAAUAAGCACCGGCUAACUCCGUGCCAGCAGCCGCGUGAAUACGGAGGGUGCAAGCGUUACUCGGAAUCACUGGGCGUAAAGAGCGCGUAGGCGGGAUAGUAAGUCAGAUGUGAAAUCCUAUGGCUUAACCAUAGAACUGCAUUUGAAACUGUUAUUCUAGAGUAUGGGAGAGGUAGGUGGAAUUCUUGGUGUAGGGGUGAAAUCCGUAGAGAUCAAGAGGAAUACUGAUUGCGAAGGCGACCUGCUGGAACAUAACUGACGCUGAUGCGCGAAAGCGUGGGGAGCAAACAGGAUUAGAUACCCUUGUAGUC